rnacentral:rRNA from 1 species
GAUGAACGCUGGCGGCGUGCCUAAUACAUGCAAGUCGAGCGAACAGACGAGGAGCUUGCUCCUCUGACGUUAGCGGCGGACGGGUGAGUAACACGUGGAUAACCUACCUAUAAGACUGGGAUAACUUCGGGAAACCGGAGCUAAUACCGGAUAAUAUAUUGAACCGCAUGGUUCAAUAGUGAAAGACGGUUUUGCUGUCACUUAUAGAUGGAUCCGCGCCGCAUUAGCUAGUUGGUAAGGUAACGGCUUACCAAGGCAACGAUGCGUAGCCGACCUGAGGGGGGAUCGGCCACACUGGAACUGAGACACGGUCCAGACUCCUACGGGAGGCAGCAGUAGGGAAUCUUCCGCAAUGGGCGAAAGCCUGACGGAGCAACGCCGCGUGAGUGAUGAAGGUCUUCGGAUCGUAAAACUCUGUUAUUAGGGAAGAACAAAUGUGUAAGUAACUAUGCACGUCUUGACGGUACCUAAUCAGAAAGCCACGGCUAACUACGUG